GUAGGUGAACCAGCGGAGGGAUCAUUACCGAGUUUACAACUCCCAAACCCAAUGUGAACGUUACCAAACUGUUGCCUCGGCGGGAUCUCUGCCCCGGGUGCGUCGCAGCCCCGGACCAAGGCGCCCGCCGGAGGACCAACCAAAACUCUUAUUGUAUACCCCCUCGCGGGUUUUUUUAUAAUCUGAGCCUUCUCGGCGCCUCUCGUAGGCGUUUCGAAAAUGAAUCAAAACUUUCAACAACGGAUCUCUUGGUUCUGGCAUCGAUGAAGAACGCAGCGAAAUGCGAUAAGUAAUGUGAAUUGCAGAAUUCAGUGAAUCAUCGAAUCUUUGAACGCACAUUGCGCCCGCCAGUAUUCUGGCGGGCAUGCCUGUCCGAGCGUCAUUUCAACCCUCGAACCCCUCCGGGGGGUCGGCGUUGGGGAUCGGCCCUCCCUUAGCGGGUGGCCGUCUCCGAAAUACAGUGGCGGUCUCGCCGCAGCCUCUCCUGCGCAGUAGUUUGCACACUCGCAUCGGGAGCGCGGCGCGUCCACAGCCGUUAAACACCCAACUUCUGAAAUGUUGACCUCGGAUCAGGUAGGAAUACCCGCUGAACUUAAGCAUAUCAAUAAGCGGAGGAAAAGAAACCAACAGGGAUUGCCCCAGUAACUGC
rnacentral:rRNA from 1 species